CCCCUCUCAGGAUUGCAUCUGGAGAGUUUCCUGUACUCUACCCGUUUUGGCUAUGGGAGGGAGAGUCAAGCAGAGACAUACCCACUCCAUCCCUAGCUUGGGCAGUGGCUAGCGAGUGGAAGGCAAUCUACUGCAAGU